GCCGCUCCGAGAAAUCAUCCCCUCCCUGCUAUUAAGUGCACGCUGCCAUUGCACCUUAAUCGCGCGUCACAGCUCGUAUGCAGUAGCUGUGGGAAAGCUGCAUUUAUUUGUACAGGAAGCUUGAGAACAGCACUUCCUACUUCCCAUCCGAGACUCAAUUCAACUGCAGCUCCUGUAUUUUCUUCCUGCAGCUGCCCCCUUUGCUACUCUUCCUUCAUCACACAAGUACUUGAUUUGCCACAGAUGAAGCUCAGCAAGAAAACUCCUCCUGUUCUCAGCCCCCGUGCUUAGCACCACAGCACUUGAACAGCAAAAGGCAAUUAUCUCAAGGAGGAGAGUGGAUGUCCACAGCAAAGAGUAGCCGAAGGUGAUGUGACACUGUGCAGGAGCUCAGGCUAUAAGGACUUGAGAUGAUCAAUACUGAUGAUUCUUGCAAUUGUCAUCACUAAAAGACGUGAGCUGGACUUUUAUGAGCUCUUCUGUCAAAAUGAUUUCUCUUCCAGCUACACCUCGAGCCCAGAACCAUGCUAGAGGAAAAAAAAAUAAAAUAGAGCCUCAGCAGAAAGCCAUGAGAAGUCAGCCUGCUACCCCAGUGGGUGGGUUUCAGGUACUUGCAAAUCUCAGCUUAAAGAUCCAGGCCAAUAGCUUUGACAGGGUAUUACCGGAAUUUCAGUGCGAACUUGUCUUCUUGGGACCUGGAAGCAUUGAGACAAAGUGUACUUGCCCAUAGCAAAACCUGCUGGUGGCAGAGCUCUACUGGCAAUACCAUCAGGAGUGGCAUUUUACCACUGGCAACCAAACAGCUCAGCAACAGCUCUACAGAAACUUUUGCUUCGGCUAACUCCUUCCUGCUCACUAAGUGUAUGAAGAGCCAGCCCGCAAGAAGGAAGCAAGCUAGGUUUCAAUGAGCCUGCCAUAAAUAAGACACUGACGAGCUGCCACUGAACAGCAGAUGUCCAGCCCAGGAGCAGCCAGAGCAGCACCCUCAGCCCAGGGCAUGUCCUCAGCCACCUCCUUCACUCCAGACGCAGGGAAGAGGCAGGCAGGCUUCUGUCACACUCCCCCUUGACCUUCUCCUGUGACAUGAGGCAUGCCAGCCAUCGUCUUGCAAGGCAGUUCUGUUCCUCCCCAGCUGCACAGUGAUCAUCAAUGAGGUGACAGCACUGCUUCUGGAGACACUGUCACUG